GCUCAAUGUAUGUAAGUUCCAUAAUUUCUUUAAACUUGCUAAUGUUGAAAUCCAUUUCAUUCAGUGAAAAGAUUAGAAACAAAAUGAAAAGAAUCAUUCCAUACAUUUAUGCCCCUUUCUCCACCCACCUAUCUUUCAGCUUUUUUAAAAGUGCAUAUUUCAUUAUGAGAGCUUGAUGGUAUUAAAGCAGAUUAUGAUUUUUGACAUUUCUUGUUCUGUGCUUGACAGAAAUCUCUAGCACUAUUUGGUAUAGAGUAUUUCUGUUUUAUGUCAAUGGAAUGCUCUUAAAUUUUACUGAGGCUUUUUAUGAUAGAAGAAAAGUAAGCCUUUCCAUUUAGCCUUGUGUUUCAAACUGCUUCCUAAUCAAGUUUUGUUUUCAGAGUGUGAAGUAAUGACUUACAGAUUAACAUCUGCAGGUAGGUGGCUGUUUUUUGUACACAGUGUUUGCACAUCAUAAUAAGGUUUUGCAAUCUUGUUCUGAGUGCUACUAGAGAAGAAGGGAUAUAGCACUACUUGCUUAUGUCUUUAUUUUUCUAUCCUAUAGUUCUCUGAUUCCUGUCCUUGGUAAUCAGUGAACUCUAAGAAAACAUACCUCUUUAUUCCAGUCAGUUCUUGACUUCUAACCUUAGUUCCCCAAAUACUGUCUGGCAAAGUUAAGCUGAUUUAAUUACACAGCUGAUUGUGACUAGGUAGCUGCAGUCAAUCACAUUCUGUAUUAUCCCCUUAUGCUUUUGUCACUAAGUUAUUCUUAUGUCACUGCUAAAUAUAUUCUAUGAUUCUUUUGGGGUGUUUUUUAAUACCAGAAAAAAAAUCCAAGGAUAUACUGAGCCUCAGGAGAAUCUAAAAUUAAUAGUUUAGCAGACCACAAGUGCUCAUUCAGUGUUAGGCUUUUGUGUAUGUAAACUGCUAAAGCAUAACAACUUGUUUCGAAUAAUCAGUUGACCUUAGACCAACCUAGGCUUUUUUAUUUAUUCAUUUUUUGUCUAAUUUUGUUUUUAUGGUGAUGCAGAUUGAACUCAGGGCCUUUGGUCCAUGUUAGGCAAGCCCUUACACCACUGAGCCAUGUCUCCCACCCAAUCAGCCUUUUCUUUAGCUCCUCAGACCCAUAAAUUCUACUUUAAGUUAUCUUUAAAGCAGAGCAGCAGCAGUUGUUUGUUCUUUAGGAAAAUAAUUGCCCAUACAUGCCUUCAUAUUCCUCUGCUCUUUAUUUUUAGCCCAAAAGUCUUAAAGACCUAUAUAUUCCACUGCUGCCUGUUCAGCAUCUUCUUCCUGUCCAUUUACUAUGACCUACUUUUCAUUGUCCAUGUUUCUUUUACUACCACAAUCUCAUUCCAUACCAAUGUGCUUCUUCAACACCAACUGAUAAAUGAGCAAAGAUUUGAACAUCCAGCAGAGAGGUAAACAAAAGCUGUUCAUAGUGGUGCAUUCCUAUAACCUUAUGUAUUGGGAGGCUGAAACAGGAUCCCUUAAGUCCAGGAGUUCAACUUGCCCAACUUGGGCAACAGAGGGAAGCUCCUGUCUCACUGUUCCCCCACAAAGUGUAGUAGAUUUACUUUUGAAUCUCCUCUGGAAAUGCAACUUCUGCAUUUUUUCUUCUUGAAUUCAGGUCUCAUUCCAGUGUACCCAGAGUUGGAGAAUCACAUACCAUGGCCCUAACUGCUAAUUGGAAAUUUCUCCCUAUCCUCAUCCAUCAACACACACUUUGAAACACAUACCAUCCACCUGCAUUGCCACUACAGCUCUGCAUUGCUCUUCAUCACUGUCCUGCACCCUCCUAAAAACUGCUUGUCAUCUUUCUUUUCGCUGUCUCCCACCCUCAGUGUUAAUGACCUCACCAUCCACACUGCUGUAACCUUGUAUUUAUUUGCCUUAAAAAUUGUCGUUAGCUCAGCUCAUCUUUUACGCCACAUUAAAUUAGUGAUAGGCCAGUGGAGAAACAUUUUGCCUUUAAUACUUAUCCUUCCUAGACUAGAAGUCCAUAUCUCUACCUUUUGACUCGCUGGAGCAUAGCUAUUCAUUCUUUUUAUCUUUAAAAACUAGGGAAGGGUGGCGUAGGUGGCCCUGAGGUUCCCUUUUCUGGCUGCAGCACCACACAAUGAGGAGCUCUCAUCUUGCUGCUUGCUGUAGUCCAUGCAGGUUUUCAAAGGCAAGAAGACUGCCGCAACUGUGGCACACUGCAAAAGGGCAGCAGGCUCAUCAAGGUGAAUGGGCAUCUCUUGGGGGUGAUCAAGCAGUGCAUGCUGCAGUACAAGUUACUGGAUCUUGCUCUGCUUCUGAGAAAGUGGCUUGCAGGUGUAGACUUCUGAGUCCAUAUGAAGAGUGGUCAUCAGUUAUGCUUUCCUUAGUCCAUCUCCAAAGCCCUACUAAUCUGUUACCAGGAAUAUGUGGAUGAGACAUUCAAGGAGAUCAAAGACAUCCUUAAUUUAGUAUUUAGACCCUGCUUGUAGCUGAUCCCCUGUCAUUUCAAGUCCAAAAAGUAGAGGCCCUGGUGCCCAUGUUCACUACCAGAAAUCUCACCACAAAUCCCAUCAUGAAGAUCAAGGUUUGCCUUUAUAACAAGCAAUAAGGUAUUUUAAAGUUAAAAAAGAAAAGUUUAGGAAUCUAUUUCUUCGUUCUCUACAAUGUUACUAUUAGAUUUAAUUAUUUAAUUGUUUGACAAUUUACUUGUAAACCUAGUUAGUAUUUUAAUACAUAAUACAGUAUUAUUUAAUAGUGUUCAGUGUAUAAAGUAACAUUUUCAAUAUAAAAAUAUAUUACCUCUAAUACUACAUCUUACCUAGUUCCAACUGCAAAAGAACUUCAAUUCCCUUUAAUAUUGGGAAAUUAAUGAUCAAAGAAGUGAAGGGUGAAUAAUCAUCUUAUAUUUCUGACAACACUUUCAUUCUUACGUGAUUCUGCCUCACUCCCCUUUAUUGUAACUCAAACCCAGGAGUUGAAGGAAAUGGUGCUUAUAGCUCUACCAUUUAACUACAUAGUGCCAUAAACAAAUAACCAAAUGCACUGACUUCUUAUUUUCUGGGAAUCUUGUAUCAAACUCAAGGGAAGGUGGAGAGUUUUGUCUUUAUUUCAUAAAGCCAGGUCUUGGUAAUACGACGGAUCAUAUACCAUGAAUGACACUCCUUGUUUGUCGGAAGUAAUGCUACAUAAUUUUAGGGUAAAAUCAUUUGGUUAGCCUAGUUCUCCUGCCUACAGCGCAGCUAUGGAAUUCCGAAACAUAAUUGCAUUUUGACCUCCGGUCACAACUGAGACCUCAAUGAUCCGGUGAUGAUGCUGUGAUUCUCCAGAACAAGAUUACACCAGCUGAAGACAUCCUGGGAGGAACAAACAUCUACUCAGUUCCUCAUUGUUCUUGGACUGUUACCAUCUUCUUUACCCGGAUGUACUGAGCUCUCUGAAAGUCAUUUGUUACACUUUGUUUCUCCCGAUGUACUGAAUAAAAGGUGAGAUAUGCUGGGGUCUUUCAUCUUUGCCGCCCAGAGCAGCACUGAUCAGACCCAAAGCUCAGCUUCUUCUCAGUCUCAUUUUUCUACCUUUCCUGUAAUUCUCCGUGUACUGCCGAGGCUUGCAGGAGACUAGGACUUACUGCAGAGGUUCUAGUAACGUCCCCUUUCCCUGUUCCCUACACUUGUUAAAACAACUAAUCAAGUACAUAAAAUAUUUUUAAAGUGCUACUCAUCUGGCACAAAGUAUGGAAUGUAUAGAUAGCAAACAGAGAAAAAGCAGAAACUCUGCAGUGAAUGAGUACCCACAUUUGCUCUCACUCUCGCCUGGAAGUUUCUACCAAAAUCAAAGAGAUCUGGAGCUUCUGCUUUGGCAAAGUUCAAAAAUACAAAAGGUAGAACCUGGGCUUGCUCAGGACGGAGUCUGUGACCAUAACAAUUGUACCUCGAUGGUGGCAGUGAAUGAAAUACAAAUUUUACUACACAGAGGAGAGAUAGAAUCAUUUUGUCUUUUACUCGAUACCAAAUGGGAGGAAAGGAAAAAAGAUCAUCCCUAAGAUGUAACCACUAGUUGGCCUUGGGUGGGUCUGUAUCACAAAACACACUGCCUCUGAUUCUGAAACAGAGCGGCAGGGGAUCUCAAGGAAAGUAAAUUCAAGUGGGAGGGGAAGGGGAAAGGAAAAAUUGUGAGAAAUGGAAAAAAUGGAAACAAAGUCUUUGUAAAUAGGGAAGAGUGGUGAGGGUGAAGGGAGCACAGG
ensembl:lncRNA